AGAGUUUGAUCCUGGCUCAGGAUGAACGCUGGCGGCGUGCCUAACACAUGCAAGUCGAACGGACUUUUCAUGAAGCCUAGCGAUUGAAAAGUUAGUGGCGGACGGGUGAGUAACGCGUGGGUAACCUGCCUUGUACUGGGGGACAACAGUUGGAAACGACUGCUAAUACCGCAUAAGCGCACAGCUUCGCAUGAAGCAGUGUGAAAAACUCCGGUGGUACAAGAUGGACCCGCGUCUGAUUAGCUGGUUGGUGAGGUAACGGCCCACCAAGGCGACGAUCAGUAGCCGGCCUGAGAGGGUGAACGGCCACAUUGGGACUGAGACACGGCCCAAACUCCUACGGGAGGCAGCAGUGGGGAAUAUUGCACAAUGGGGGAAACCCUGAUGCAGCAACGCCGCGUGAGUGAAGAAGUAUUUCGGUAUGUAAAGCUCUAUCAGCAGGAAAGAAAAUGACGGUACCUGACUAAGAAGCCCCGGCUAACUACGUGCCAGCAGCCGCGGUAAUACGUAGGGGGCAAGCGUUAUCCGGAUUUACUGGGUGUAAAGGGAGCGUAGACGGCGAAGCAAGUCUGAAGUGAAAACCCAGGGCUCAACCCUGGGACUGCUUUGGAAACUGUUUUGCUAGAGUGUCGGAGAGGUAAGUGGAAUUCCUAGUGUAGCGGUGAAAUGCGUAGAUAUUAGGAGGAACACCAGUGGCGAAGGCGGCUUACUGGACGAUAACUGACGCUGAGGCUCGAAAGCGUGGGGAGCAAACAGGAUUAGAUACCCUGGUAGUCCACGCCGUAAACG
rnacentral:rRNA from 1 species